rnacentral:lncRNA from 1 species
CUCAGGCUGUUAGCAUAAACGAGCUACUUCCUAACUGCAAACUUAACGCCCAUGUUAAAUAACUUUAAAAUCUGCAUGUGUAUAUGAAUUUCUCAGAAAAUUCAUCAGAGGAACUUAAAAUUUCAAUCACUGUUAUUCUUUGGUAUGGAGAAAAAAAUCUUACAUGAUGUGGCAGUAUAAUAACCUGCAAGCUGGUUCAACCUGAAGAAUACUCUUCUGUUUUUAUACUUCAAAAGAGCUACUAGAACUUACUUGACCUUAAAAAAAAAAAGUCUUCAAAGUGGAUCUGGAGGUGGUCAGACAACAAGGGAAACACAGGAGAGCACAGAUGAUGUCUCAAUCAUCAUUGUGUCCGCAAUGUCAAGAAAGCACAAUUCUCAUCACAUAGCAAGUCCUCCAGAAAUAGACUGGAACACGGAUAACAAAUACCUGCUGGGUUUGCUGCCACUACUACUUAAUCCUUCCUCUAUAGCUGGCAUUGCUAAUCACUCAUGACACUUUCCUGCUGAGCCCACAUGUAGACUCAGAUGGCUACAGGCAGUAACCACCAAUUGAUCAGAGCUGGCACACAAGAUGGAACCUAUUUGCAAUCCCUGGUCUAGAACAUUGUACCAUCUCUACUGAGCUGCUGCUUUGGGACUGACUUUACCAGGAGGCUCACCACAGGGGGUUGGAGUAGUCCUAGAAGGUGAAUAAAUGGCAGAGCCCACAUGGCAUACAA